GGAGGACUGCUGAAAUGCUAGUCUGCAGAAGCAGGCAACACUAUCAAAUUGCGGGAACACCCUAAAGACCUCAACACCAAGCGUCAUGGGAAACCAUGGCGUGGCCGAGCUAAUAGCCCUGGGUAUGGUAACAGCUUGAGGUAUGAAGCCUUCGCAAGGAGGCCGAAAUGGGCAAUCCGCAGCCAAGUCCUAACGUGCUCGAAACCGAGUGCCAUGGAUGCUGUUCACAGGCCAAAUGGUAGUGGGUGACUCUUGCGAGUUGCUUAAGAUAUGGUCGGGCCCCUUCAGAAAUGUGGGGGAUAAGCUUACGCUUCUCCAAACCGUUCCGUAGGUGAACCUGCGGAAGGAUCAUU
rnacentral:ncRNA from 1 species